AUAAUUUAACUUAGUUACGAUGCAUAACAAAUUGAUAUUAUGAGAAAGAAUAUUAUUUCACUUUUUAUUUUACGUUUCAGUAGUAUUUUAAACCUCGUAAUACAGAAAGACCGUCGCUAGCGCGGGGCCCCUUCAAGGUGCGGGGCCCAAUUUGAUCUAAUCGGUCAAAUCGGCCUAAAACCGGCCCUGCUUAGACUUAGACUAUAUAUAUAUUGCACUUUCGAAACUAAACCCCCUAGCGUUUUCAUAAGUUAUUUGGGUGUUCUUCUGCUACCUAAACCAAUUAGUGACGCGCAUGAAUGGAUUAACGAGAUUCCCGCUGUCCCUAUCUACUAUCUAGCGAAACCACAGCCAAGGGAACGGGCUUGGCAGAAUUAGCGGGGAAAGAAGACCCUGUUGAGCUUGACUCUAGUCCGACUUUGUGAAGAGACAUGAGAGGUGUAGGAUAAG
rnacentral:ncRNA from 1 species